GAAGAGGCUGUGCAGGUGCUACACUGGUGCCUGGAGGCUGUUAUGGACUGGAUGAAGGCCAAUAAAUUGAGGCUGAAAAUACAGAGGUGCUGUGGAUGCAGCAGAGAAAUGAAUUAAAUCUUGCAAAGUGCUGCCGGGCUUUAAUUUACACAUUUGCUUUCAAGUUGACCAGUCUUUGGCAAAUUCUGAUUAUACAACUACAACUUCAGUUUACACCAA